rnacentral:rRNA from 1 species
UGAGUUAGUGGCGGACGGGUGAGUAACGCGUGGGUAACCUGCCUUACACAGGGGGAUAACACCUGGAAACAGGUGCUAAUACCGCAUAAGCGCACAGGGCCGCAUGGCCCGGUGUGAAAAACUCCGGUGGUGUAAGAUGGACCCGCGUCUGAUUAGCUUGUUGGCGGGGUAGGGGCCCACCAAGGCGACGAUCAGUAGCCGGCCUGAGAGGGUGGACGGCCACAUUGGGACUGAGACACGGCCCAAACUCCUACGGAAGGCAGCAG